UACGGAGGGUGCAAGCGUUAUCCGGAAUUACUGGGUUUAAAGGGUGCGUAGGCGGCUUAGUAAGUCAGGGGUGAAAGGCUACGGCUCAACCGUGGAAUUGCCUUUGAUACUGCUGAGCUUGAAUGAGGUUGAGGUGAGCAGAAUGUGGCAUGUAGCGGUGAAAUGCAUAGAUAUGCCAUAGAAUACCGAUUGCGAAGGCAGCUCACUGGACCUGAAUUGACGCUGAGGCACGAAAGCGUGGGGAGCGAAC
rnacentral:rRNA from 1 species